ACUUGCGAAGGUGCAGUAUUCUAGUCGGGCGAAUUUGCUUGGAAGGCGUUAAAAGCGCUAAAUGGCACAUCGAUGAAGUUUCUGGUGUUGGCUUUGGUUGCCCAAACCGGGGCUUAUGCUGGAAGUUAAGAUUUUUGGGAGCGCUGUAAUGGCAUACAGAGGUAAGCCCAAUUAUCGCGGAGACCCAUACCGGUGGUUUCGUUAGAGAUGGCACUGAUUGGGGAUGAACCUGCAUUGCGGUAAAAAAAUUGCUGUGUGCAGCGUAGCCAGCCUUGAGUGGGACUGUUGGAAUUAAGUUUAUUUAAAAUGGUUUUGGCCGAAACUAUUUUAAAGCAAAAAAGCAGACUUAUGAAAUUCACCCUGCAAAAAAGGAUAAGAGUAAAUUUCGUGCGUUUGAGAAAAUCUCUAGACUGUUCGCUUGCGAUUCACUUUGGGGAUUAUAGUGUGGUCUAAGUGGCGAUUCGGUGAUGUCCUCCCCUUAAAAGGAAACUGCUUUUACGGCGACGGAAAGUGUGGGAAGGCGGGAAAUCCAACCGAACCUAUGCUGCAAGGUUUACUUAAAGUGAAGCC
rnacentral:sRNA from 1 species